rnacentral:rRNA from 1 species
UUUACCAAAAACAUCGCCUCUUGCAAGACCAAUGAAUAAGAGGUCCCGCCUGCCCUGUGACUAUAUGUUUAACGGCCGCGGUAUUUUGACCGUGCGAAGGUAGCGCAAUCACUUGUCUUUUAAAUGGAGACCCGUAUGAAUGGCUCCACGAGGGCUUAGCUGUCUCCCCCUCCCAGUCAAUGAAAUUGAUCUCCCCGUGCAGAAGCGGGGAUAAUAACAUAAGACGAGAAGACCCUAUGGAGCUUAAGGCGCCAGGGCAGCUCACGUUAAACACCCCUAGUUAAAGGAAUGAACCAAGUGAACCCUGCCCCAGUGUUUUUGGUUGGGGCGACCGCGGGGAAAUACAAAACCCCCAUGUGGACCAGGAACACUACAUGUUCCCAAACCCGAGAGCUACCGCUCUAAUAAACAGAACUUCUGACCAGCUAAGAUCCGGCAGUGCCGAUCAACGGAACGAGUUACCCUAGGGAUAACAGCGCAAUCCUCUUAAAGAGUCCUUAUCGACAAGGGGGUUUACGACCUCGAUGUUGGAUCAGGACAUCCUAAUGGUGCAGCCGCUAUUAAGG